AGGUUGUUUAUUCAAGGUUGAUGCCAGAACUGUAUAGUAUCCACGUAAAGACUAAGGAUGUCUGGAACGGGUGACACAGGACAGGAUCAAGCAAAGGAUCUUGAUGUAGACGUUCCUGGUGCCAUUGGGGAUGAAGAAGUUAAAACAAAAGUUGACAAGGAUCAGGAUACCAAAACUAAAUUUGAACAGG